AUAGGAAACAACGUGGCGACACGACAGUGCAUUGACAGUGUACGAUAGUGUAUGAGUAUAGCGUAUGGAAUUCGUGACGUGUGAUUCUUAUUUAAUUUAUUUAUUUUUUGUACGUUUGAAAAUCGCGAAAAGAAAUUAAUUCGUGGAUAACGUGAAAAAGAAAGAAUUAACAUUGCGAAGCGUCGCUCCGUUAUUCCUUGGCAGAACACAUCGCGCAAGCAAGAAGCAAAGGUUAUGUCUGCAAUGAUCGCGUCGGUGAUAUUUUACGACUGUUAGCACAAAUUAUUUUGCCGUCAUUGCGAAAAUAACUUAACUGCUGAUGCAUUAUCGGGCAUCGUCGUACGUAUUCAUUCGCCUGCGAUAUGCGAUGACUAACCUAAACGCAAAUUCUAACCUAACGAUCGGCAAUAACCUUGAAAAUCUCCAUUAAAGUGUCAACGUGUAAACGUAAUACGAGUGAAUAUCUAUUGCUGAUUGUAUGAGAAUUAGAAGAGAAAAUAUGAAGAGAAAAUUGGAAAAAGGAGACCGUGUUAUGGAGGAUGGAGGUGCCACUGACGUGAACAAUGCCCAGGAACCCUCUGAUUUGCGCGGUGAUGAGAAAAAUAUCGCAAUUCUAUUUUUUUUGUAUUUAUUACAAGGAAUCCCACUUGGAUUAUGUGGCUCAAUUCCCAUGCUGUUGCAGAACAGAGGAGUUUCUUAUCGGCAACAGGCAGAAUUUAGUUUUGUACAAUGGCCAUUUUCAUUAAAACUUUUUUGGGCACCUAUAGUGGAUUCCAUUUUUUCUCAAAAGUUUGGUAGAAGAAAGACUUGGUUAAUACCUACCCAGUAUCUAAUGGGCAUGUUUAUGUUGCUUCUGUCCAAUUACGUUGAACAUUGGUUGGGCAAAGAGCAUGAAAAACCUAACAUUGAAAUGCUAACCGCAUUGUUUUUUGCCUUGAACGUACUUGCUGCGACACAGGACAUUGUAGUAGACGGAUGGGCGCUUACGAUGCUUAAGAGGUGCAACGUUGGAUAUGCAUCUACUUGUAACAGUGUCGGGCAAACGGCAGGCUACUUCAUUGGCUAUGUCUUAUUUAUUUCACUGGAAUCUGCAGAAUUUUGUAAUAGUUAUUUACGAUCAACUCCUUCUGAUGAAAGCAUACUGACUCUACCUGGAUUUCUGUAUUUUUGGGGCUGGACAUUUAUUGUUACUACAACGUUUAUCGCCUUAUUCAAACGUGAAGAUAAAGGUAGAGUUUUAAAGGGCGAAGAACUCAAUAUGGACAUUAAACAUGCAUACAAAUUGCUGUGGAAUUUGGUUAAAUUGCCGGCUAUAAAGACUACAAUUAUCUUUCUUUUAACUGCAAAGAUCGGUUUUUCGGCAUGUGAUGCUGUAACUAGUUUAAAGCUCAUAGAAGCUGGUUUUCCCAAGGAAAAACUUGCUUUUAUGGCUGUACCUAUGAUACCAUUACAAAUAAUUUUACCGUUAAUGAUAUCGAAAUAUACUGCUGGGCCCAGACCUAUGGACGUUUAUAUGAAAGCCAUGCCUUACAGGCUGGCUUUCGGGUUAAUAGCAGCGUUUUUGGUGUGGGUCACACCGUUCAUUGUAUUAAAUGGACUCGCUCCAGCUUACUAUUUCGUUGUAUUAAUAGCCCUCUAUUUUAUACAUCAGAUUUGUGCAAGUAGUAUGUUCGUGGCAUCGAUGGCUUUCUUCGCGAAAGUGAGUGAUCCGGCUGUUGGUGGCACUUACAUGACAUUGCUCAAUACUUUAUGCAAUCUCGGUGGAAAUUGGCCCGCCACGGCCGCACUUUGGUUUGUCGAUCCUUUAACAUUUCGACAAUGCAGUACUGAUUUUACAAAUGAUUGUAGCACAAUUACAGAAAGAGAGAUCUGUGCGAAUACCGAUAACGGUGUUUGCGUUACGCAGCUAGAUGGUUAUUACAUAGAGAGCAUUCUCUGCUUAAUCAUAGGCUUCUCCUGGCUUAGGUGGGGUCGUAGAAAAAUUAAUAUAUUACAAGGAAAACCAAUGUCCGCUUGGAAAAUUGUGCUUACUCGUAACAACAGAUGUUUCAUAGAAAUUUUGUAAAAAUUGAUGAACGUAACACAUGCGACGUACGUUUAUACUGUAAAUAUAUGUGAAAAUAUUUUACUUACGUAUGAACUAAUGGAUAUUUAACCAAGAUGUUAAUAAAAGUUUUUUGUAUAAAAAGUUGAAAUCGAUGUACAUGCGCAUCGAGUUCUUUUAUACCUGUCUGAAAAAAUUGUGAUUUAGGCAAAUUAUGAAGGUACAUUAUCAAACAUGAUAACCGACGGCCAAUGUAUUGCACAAGGACAAUAUUGCACGACAGAGUCAAUCAGAUGUGUUACUGUGGAAUCAAUCAUUUGUAUCACUACGAUGAAAUUAAAUUGUUUUUCAUGCAAACAUCUUACGUACGUGCAGGAAUCUGUAUUAAUAUCACAGAUACAGAAUUGCUUAUUAAAAGAAUAUUUUUAUGAACGAUUAAAUCAAUUCUCAACAGUUUAUUUUGUUGGAAAUCAUACUACAGUAAUUAUAACGUAGUAAUUGACAGAAUAUAUCGUUUGUACUUCGCUUUGAGGAAUUGCAUUUUAUCGCUCGAUAUUUAUCGCUUAUUAUUAAAGAGAUAUAAAUGUCUCUUAAUAAAUAAAUUCCUUUUAAAUAACAAAUUAUUCGUCAUUUGAGCACUCUUAUUUUAAAACAUUUUGACAUUUUCUUAUAUAACAUUUGUCGUUGGUAUACAUCGAUGUUAAACAUAUUGUACAAAUACUUUCCAUGUAACAUCAUACAUUUAUACUUCUCACGCGCAAUACACGUUUAUGCAACACACAUAGAUUAUGAACUACAUACGUAACAAAAUAUAUUUUAUGUAUAGACACAAUAUAUAUUUUUAGUAUAUAUCCAGAGA
rnacentral:misc_RNA from 1 species